UUGACUUCGGAGAGGGAGCAUGAGAAACGGCUACCACAUCUAAGGAAGGCAGCAGGCGCGUAAAUUACCCAAUCCUGACUCAGGGAGGUAGUGACAAGAAAUAGCAAACCGGGAACCUCAUGGUUUCACGGUAUUGCAAUGAGAACAAUUUAAAACCCUUAGCGAGAAUCAAGUGGAGGACAAGUCUGGUGCCAGCACACGCGGUAAUUCCAGCUCCACUAGCGUAUAUUAAAGUUGUUGCAGUUAAAAAGCUCGUAGUUGAACCUCUGUCUGGGGCUAGUUUUGGCUUUGGUCAGGCUAGUUCUAGGCAUCCGCCUACAAGACUUAGAGGGCAUUCAGUUGUUCACUAGGAGGAGUAGGCAUUUUACUUUGAAAAAAUUAGAGUGUUUAAGGCAGGCAAUCGCCCGCAUAUAUUAGCAUGGAAUAAUAGAAUAGGACACUUUUCCAUUUCGUUGGUUAUUGGAAUCGUGUAAUGAUUAAUAGGGACAGUUGUGGGCAUUUGUAUUUAAUUGUCAGAGGUGAAAUUCUUGGAUUUAUUAAAGACAAACUAACGCGAAAGCAUUUGCCAAGGAUGUUUUCAUUAAUCAAGAACGAAAGUUAGGGGAUCAAAGACGAUCAGAUACCGUCCUAGUCUUAACUAUAAACUAUUCCGACUCAAUGUUUGACUGGCUUAUAUAACCAGUUGAGCGUUGUAUGAGAAAUCAAAGUCUUUAGGUUCUGGGGGGAGUAUGGUUGCAAAGCUGAAACUUAAAGGAAUUGACGGAAGAGCACAACCAGGAGUGGAUUCUGCGGCUUAAUUUGACUCAACACGGGGAAACUUACCAGGUUAAAACGAUAGUGGGAUUGACAGUUUGAGAGCGCUUUCUUGAUUGGUUGGGUGGUGGUGCAUGGCCGUUCUUAGUUGGUGGAGUGAUUUGUCUGCUUAAUUGCGUUAACGAUCGAGACCUUAACCUGCUUACUAGACUGGCGAUCAUCAAUCGUUAGCUCUUCUUAGAGGGACUUUGGUUGUUUUAACUCCAAGGAAGUUUGAGGCAAUAACAGGUCUGUGAUGCCCUUAGAUAUCCUGGGCCGCACGCGUCAUACAAUGACUAGUUCAGAAAGUUUUCUCCUGACCCGAAAGGGGAUGGGUAAUCUUGAUAAUACUAGUCGUGUUAGGGAUCGAUCUUUGCAAUUAUAGAUCUUGAACGAGGAAUUCCUAGUAAGUGCGGUUCAUCAGACCGUACUGAUUACGUCCCUGCUCUUUGUACACACCGCCCGUCGCUUCUACCGAGUGGGUGGUCCGGUGAGAUAAUUGAACUUCGCAGGUAACUGAGAGGAAAGAUUAUCAAACCUAUCCACCUCGAGGAAGAAGAAGUCGUAACAAGGUU
rnacentral:rRNA from 1 species